CUACCGACUAACCUCAUCCCACCUCCUUGACCUGUCCGUCUCCCCUGGACUGACCUAUCCCCUCCCCACCUAUACUCUCUCCACCUAUCUUCUUUACUCUCCAUCUUCGUUCCGCCUCCCCAUCCCUGUUUAUUCCAGUUCCCUCUCCCCACCCCCCUCUCUGAUGAAGGGUCUUGGCCCGCAACGUCAGCUUUUGUGCUCCUCAGAUGCUGCUUGGCCUGCUGUGCUCAUCCAGCCUCACAUUUUAUUAUGUUGGGAGAGAGAGCUGUUUUGGUUUGUGAUACAAGAGACGAGGCUGUCUCUGCCUUUCACCCAUCGGUAGUUCUCCUCCUGUCCCUGCCUCUAUGCACACACACUGCCAGGCAUAGUCUUCCUCCCUCUGUGUGUGUGUGUGUCUCUCUCUCUCGCUUCAGCUCCUAAAACGUAAGAUGCAUCGGAUAUAAAAACACGCACAUAAACACACACACACACACAUACAUCAACAAGCCAUGGGGAAAGAUCAGGAAUUACUGCAAGCUGUCAAAACCGAAGAUGUAGCUGCAGUGCAGAAGCUGUUGCAAAGGCCGAAACAACGCAAAGCGAUUUCCACUUGGAAGAAAGAUUCACAUCAAAUUGACUGGUCAAGGAAAUGGGACACUGACUGGUGGAGUUAGUGGAACCGAAAAAGAUGUCUCCCUCACAGCGUUCGUGACAAAAGAAUUGCAUCGUUCCUUGGCGGCCUUUCAACAGAAGAAUAUUCAGAGAUUUCCCGAGUGGACACAAUCAUCGCCUUGGAAGCUUCAUCACGAUACUACUUUGCAUUUCUGAAGAGGGAAGAAGAAAUCAAUAUGCAAAUUCAAUUCCAUGGUUUUGGAAGUCCCAUGUGAGAACACGAUUCAUUUGCGCCGGCAUAAUGCUCUGACCGAGAAAGAAUUGAAGUUUCCACUUGGAAGAAAGAUUCACAUCAAAUUGACUGGUCAAGGAAAUGGGACACUGACUAACCUUACGAUGAGACUGUUUUGAUGAGGAAUUUAAAGAUUAUGUGUCCCAUCCAUUUGACGCACAGUUUGGUACCAUAGGUUGGUACGAUCUUCGUUCAUGAAGGAAAAGGGAUGUUCCAGAUACAGAAAAUCGUCAAACCAUUUAUGACAAAGUCCGUUUCUGGGUGGAGUUAGUGGAACCGACAAAGAUGUCUCCCUCACAGCGUUUGUGACAAAAGAAUUGCAUCGUUCCUUGGCGGCCUUUCAACAGAAGAACAUUCAGAGAUUUCACGAGCGG